rnacentral:rRNA from 1 species
GACGGAAGGUGCAAGCGUUGCUCGGAAUCACUGGGCGUAAAGGGUGCGUAGGCGGCCGUGCAAGUCUGGCGUGAAAGCCCCGGGCUCAGCCCGGGAAGUGCGCUCGAAACUGCGCGGCUCGAGUGCCGGAGGGGAGAGUGGAAUUCCUGGUGUAGCGGUGAAAUGCGUAGAUAUCGGGAGGAACACCUGUGGCGAAGGCGGCCCCCUGGUUGGAUACUGACGCUGAUACGCGAAAGCGUGGGGAGCAAACAGG